GACGAACGCUGGCGGCGCGCUUAACACAUGCAAGUCGAGCGAAGCGGCGGACGGGUGAGUAACACGUGAGUAACCUGCCUUAGACAUUGGGAUAGCCUCGGGAAACCGGGAUUAAUACCAAAUGGUCUAAGAUGGACUCGCGUCCCAUUAGCGAGUUGGUGGGGAAACGGCCCACCAAGGCGCCGAUGAGUAGCCGGCCUGAGAGGGUGACCGGCCACAUUGGAACUGAGAAACGAGCCAAACUCGACGAUGGGGGGCAGUGGGGAAUAUUGCACAAUGGAGGGAACUCUGAGGCAGCGACGCGGAGUGAACGAAGAAGGCUGUCGAGUCGUAAAGUUCUUUUAUAGUGGAAGCGGUCCCAUAAGAAAAAGCCCGGGCUAACUACGUGCCAGCAGCCGCGGUAAUA
rnacentral:rRNA from 1 species